rnacentral:rRNA from 1 species
UUUCCCUCAGGAUAGCUGGCACUCGCUUGAGCGAGUCUCAUCUGGUAAAGCGAAUGAUUAGAGGCCUUGGGGCCGAAACGACCUCAACCUAUUCUCAAACUUUAAAUGGGUGAGAUCUCUGGCUUGCUUGAACGUUGAAGCCACGAGAUAUCAAAAUUUUUGCAAUGGAUCAGAGUGCCAAGUGGGCCAAUUUUGGUAAGCAGAACUGGCGCUGUGGGA